rnacentral:rRNA from 1 species
CCUACGGGCGGCAGCAGUGGGGGAUAUUGCACAAUGGGGGGAACCCUGAUGCAGCGACGCCGCGUGGGCGAUGGAGUGCUUCGGCAUGUAAAGCCCUAUCAGCAGGGAAGAAAAUGACGGUACCUGACUACGAAGCACCGGCUAACUCCGUGCCAGCAGCCGCGGUAAUACGGAGGGUGCGAGCGUUAAUCGGAAUUACUGGGCGUAAAGCGCUCGUAGGCGGUAUGUCAAGUCAAUGGUGAAAUCCCCGCGCUCAACGUGGGAACUGCCUUUGAAACUGGCAAACUGGAGUGUAGGAGAGGAUAGUGGAAUUCCAGGUGUAGGGGUGAAAUGCGUAGAUAUCUGGAGGAACAGCAGUGGCGAAGGCGACUAUCUGGCACAUAACUGACGUUGAGGAGCGAAAGCGUGGGUAGCAAACAGGAUUAGAUACCCCUGUAGUC